rnacentral:rRNA from 1 species
CAUGCAAGUCGAGGGGUAGAGGAAGCUUGCUUCCUUGAGCCGGCGCACGGGUGGUAACGCGUAUGCAACCUACCUUUUCCCGAGGGAUAGCCCAGAGAAAUUUUAUUAAUCCCUCAUGGUAUAUAUCAUUCGCAUGUUUGAUAUAUUAAAGUUCCAACGGUAAAAGAUGGGCAUGCGUCCUAUUAGCUAGAUGGUAAGGUUUUUGGCUUACCAUGGCACCGAUAGGUAGGGGUCCUGAGAGGGGUCCCCCACACUGGUACUGAGACACGGACCAGACUCCUACGGGAGGCAGCAGUGAGGAAUAUUGGACAAUGGGCGCAAGCCUGAUCCAGCCAUGCCGCGUGCAGGAAGAAGCAUCUAUGGUGUGUAAACUGCUUUUGUACGGGAAGAAACACUCCUUCGUGAAGGAGCUUG